GACGAACCGUGCGAACGUUGUUCGGAAUCACUGGGCUUAAAGGGCGCGUAGGCGGGCUGCCAAGUCUGGGGUGAAAUCCUUCGGCUCAACCGGAGAAUGGCCUCAGAUACUGACGGUCUCGAGGGGGAUAGGGGCAUGCGGAACUAGGGGUGGAGCGGUGAAAUGCGUUGAUAUCCUUAGGAACUCCGGUGGCGAAGGCGGCAUGCUGGAUCCCUUCUGACGCUGAGGCGCGAAAGCCAGGGGAGCAAACGGG
rnacentral:rRNA from 1 species